AGUCAUCUGAGGCUGGUGAGUGCAAAGAGGGAGCGCGGCUGAGAAUAUACGGCCCUGAACUUGAUCUGGAUAAUACCAGCGAAAGGAUCAUGCUUGUCCCCCUU
rnacentral:ncRNA from 1 species